rnacentral:rRNA from 1 species
GUAAGGAAUAUUGGUCAAUGGGGGCAACCCUGAACCAGCCAUGCCGCGUGAAGGAUGAAGGCGUUAUGCGUUGUAAACUUCUUUUGUAUGGGAAGAAUGACAGGGAUUUAUCCUUGGAGAGACGGUACCAUACGAAUAAGCACCGGCUAACUCCGUGCCAGCAGCCGCGGUAAUACGGAGGGUGCAAGCGUUAUCCGGAAUCAGUGGGUUUAAGGGGUACGUAGGCGGUUAAUUAAGUCAGUAGUGAAAGAAUGUCGGUCCACGACGGAUGUGCUAUUGAUACUGGUUAACUUGAAUCAGGUUAGAGUUGGCGGAAUGGGUCAUGUAGCGGUGAAAUGCUUAGAUAUGACUUGGAACACCGAUAGCGAAGGCAGCUGACUGAGCCUUGAUUGACGCUGAGGUACGAAAGUGUGGGUAGCGAACAGGAUUAGAAACCCCUGUAGUCC